GCUUGGUGUUGGACGGGGUCGAGGGCUCACGCCCCGACCCCCCCUAACGAAAAUGACGGCGACCUGUGGUUCCCCCGGUACACUGAGCUUCUCACCGAGCACGUACCGGACAAGGCGCCUAGGACCCGGUCAUCUCCUCUCACGAGGAAACAUUUUAUAAGGUUGACCUCGGAUCAGGUAGGAAUACGCGCUGAACUUAA
rnacentral:misc_RNA from 1 species